UACAGAGGGUGCGAGCGUUAAUCGGAAUGACUGGGCGUAAAGGGCGCGUAGGUGGAUAUGUGUGUUGGAUGUGAAAGCCCCGGGCUUAACCUGGGAAUUGCAUACAAAACUGCAUAUCUAGAGUAGAGCAGAGGUGAGUGGAAUUUCCGGAGUAGCGGUGAAAUGCGUAGAUACCGGAAGGAACACCAGUGGCGAAGGCGACUCACUGGGCUCAAACUGACACUGAGGCGCGAAAGCGUGGGGAGCAAACAGGAUUAGAAACCCUUGUAGU
rnacentral:rRNA from 1 species